UUGCUUCGGCAGCACAUAUACUUAAAAUUGGAACGAUACAGAGAAGAUUAGCAUGAUCCCUGCACAAGGAUGACACGCAAAUUUAAAGUUGCCUCUGACAUAUUU